rnacentral:misc_RNA from 1 species
GAAAUGCGAUAAGUAAUGUGAAUUGCAGAAUUCAGUGGAUCAUCGAAUCUUUGAACGCACAUUGCGCCCGCCAGUAUUCUGGCGGGCAUGCCUGUCCGAGCGUCAUUUCAACCAUCAAGCCCCCGGGCUUGUGUUGGGGACCUGCGGCUGCCCGCAGGCCCUGAAAACCAGUGGCGGGCUCGCUGUCACACCGAGCGUAGUAGCAAUCACCUCGCUCAGGGCGUGCUGCGGGUUCCGGCCGUUAAACAGCCUUACAAAACCCAAGGUUGACCUCGGAUCAGGUAGGAAGACCCGCUGAACUUAAGC